rnacentral:lncRNA from 1 species
CUUUCAUCUGGGAAAGUACAUCUAACUCACUCAGAGUGAAAUACCACUUCAUUUAUGAAUCUGGCAUGGACAGAGUUAUAGUACAAGAUACGCUUCACAGAGGUGCCCAGAGAAGAACAUUUGAAGGAAGUAAUAGUGAUGGGGAAACGAACAAACUUCUAAGAGGUCAGACACGCAAUGAAAGUAUGUCAGCUGAAGGACAUGAGACACUCAGUGCCAUAAUAUCUUCCCUUCAAGACCCAGCCUCAUCAUCACAACUAAUACUCAGAGUCCUUCAGAUUGUUCAUCAUUCUUCAAAGUAUUUGAAAACUCUCAUCACUGUGCACAAUAUUACAACUUUCCCUGGAUAA